rnacentral:rRNA from 1 species
GUAUCGUUAAUAGCGGUAUUCUUUGACGUUAGCGACAGAAGAAGCACCGGCUAACUCCGUGCCAGCAGCCGCGGUAAUACGGAGGGUGCGAGCGUUAAUCGGAAUUACUGGGCGUAAAGCGCAUGCAGGUGGUUUGUUAAGUCAGAUGUGAAAGCCCGGGGCUCAACCUCGGAGUUGCAUUUGAAACUGGCAGGCUAGAGUACUGUAGAGGGGGGUAGAAUUUCAGGUGUAGCGGUGAAAUGCGUAGAGAUCUGAAGGAAUACCGGUGGCGAAGGCGGCCCCCUGGACAGAUACUGACACUCAGAUGCGAAAGCGUGGGGAGCAAACAGGAUUAGAUACCCUGGUAGUCCACGCUGUAAACGAUGUCUACUUGGAGGUUGUGGCCUUGAGCCGUGGCUUUCGGAGCUAACGCGUUAAGUAGACCGCCUGGGGAGUACGGUCGCAAGAUUAAAACUCAAAUGAAUUGACGGGGGCCCGCACAAGCGGUGGAGCAUGUGGUUUAAUUCGAUGCAACGCGAAGAACCUUACCUACUCUUGACAUCUACAGGAUCCUGCGGAGACGCGGGAGUGCCUUCGGGAACUGUAAGACAGGUGCUGCAUGGCUGUCGUCAGCUCGUGUUGUGAAAUGUUGGGUUAAGUCCCGCAACGAGCGCAACCCUUAUCCUUGUUUGCCAGCGAGUAAUGUCGGGAACUCCAGGGAGACUGCCGGUGAUAAACCGGAGGAAGGUGGGGACGACGUCAAGUCAUCAUGGCCCUUACGAGUAGGGCUACACACGUGCUACAAUGGCGCAUACAGAGGGCGGCGAGCUAGCGAUAGUGAGCGAAUCCCAAAAAGUGCGUCGUAGUCCGGAUUGGAGUCUGCAACUCGACUCCAUGAAGUCGGAAUCGCUAGUAAUCGUGGAUCAGAAUGCCACGGUGAAUACGUUCCCGGGCCUUGUACACACCGCCCGUCACACCAUGGGAGUGGGCUGCAAAAGAAGCAGGUAGUUUAACCUUCGGGAGGACGCUUGCCACUUUGUGGUUCAUGACUGGGGUGAAGUCGUAACAAGGUAGCGCUAGGGGAACCUGGCGCUGGAUCACCUCCUUA